AGAGUUUGAUCCUGGCUCAGAAUGUACGCUGGCGGCACGCCUAACACAUGCAAGUCGAGCGAGGUACUUGUACCUAGCGGCAGACGGGUGCGUAACAUGUGGGAAUCUGCCUUUUGGUUCGGAACAACAUGGGGAAACCUGUGCUAAUACCGGAUAAGUCCUUACGGAGAAAGAUUUAUCGCCGAAAGAUGAGCCCGCACUAGAUUAGCUUGUUGGUAAGGUAAAAGCUUACCAAGGCUACGAUCUAUAGCUGAUUUGAGAGGAUGAUCAGCCACACUGGGACUGAGACACGGCCCAGACUCCUACGGGAGGCAGCAGUGGGGAAUCUUGCACAAUGGAGGAAACUCUGAUGCAGCGAUGCCGCGUGAGUGAAGAAGGCCCUUGGGUUGUAAAGCUCUUUUGUCGGGAAAGAUAAUGACUGUACCCGAAGAAUAAGGUCCGGCUAACUUCGUGCCAGCAGCCGCGGUAAUACGAAGGGACCUAGCGUAAUUCGGAAUUACUGGGCGUAAAGCGCGCGUAGGCGGUUAAGUAAGUUAAUUGUGAAAGCCCAAAGCUCAACUUUGGAAUUGCAAUUAAAACUAUUUAGCUAGAGUUUAUCAGAGGAAAGCGGAAUACAUAGUGUAGAGGUGAAAUUCGUAGAUAUUAUGUAGAACACCAGUUGCGAAGGCGGCUUUCUGGGAUAACACUGACGCUGAGGUGCGAAAGUAUGGGUAGCGAAGAGGAUUAGAUACCCUCGUAGUCCAUACCGUAAACGAUGAUUGUUAGAUGUUGGAAAUUUAUUUUCAGUAUCACAGCUAACGCGUUAAACAAUCCGCCUGGGGAGUACGACCGCAAGGUUAAAACUCAAAGGAAUUGACGG
rnacentral:rRNA from 1 species